rnacentral:rRNA from 1 species
GGACGAACGCUGGCGGCGUGCCUAAUACAUGCAAGUCGAACGGUCUUUCUAUGGAAGCUUGCUCCACUGAGAAGAUAGUGGCGAACGGGUGAGUAACACGUGGGUAACCUGCCCAUAAGAGGGGGAGUAACAUCCGGAAACGGGUGCUAAUACCGCAUAGUUUUCUUGAUCGCAUGAUUGAGAAAGGAAAGACGGCCUUUGUGCUGUCGCUUAUGGAUGGACCCGCGGCGUAUUAGUUAGUUGGUGAGGUAACGGCUCACCAAGACGAUGAUACGUAGCCGACCUGAGAGGGUGAUCGGCCACAUUGGGACUGAGACACGGCCCAAACUCCUACGGGAGGCAGCAGUAGGGAAUCUUCCGCAAUGGACGAAAGUCUGACGGAGCAACGCCGCGUGAGUGAAAGAAGGUUUUUCGGAUCGUAAAACUCUGUUGUCAGAGAAGAACAAGUUGGAGAGUAACUGCUCCAGCCUUGACGGUAUCUGACCAGAAAGCCACGGCUAACUACGUGCCAGCCGCGGC